rnacentral:lncRNA from 1 species
UGAAUAAGACUAGAUCUUCAUUGAUAUUCAAGAGAGUUCAUACAAAUUUACAUGGUCAUAUAUAGCUUACAAAAGAUUCAUCUCAGGCUUAACCACAAUGAAAUUAAUUACUCAUAUCUAAAGAUUCAUCUCAGGCUUAACCACAAUGAAACCGUGGCUCAAUUUUCAGCUUUCUAUGAAUCCUUGAUUUCUAUCUAUUUCAGCUUCAAAUACUCCAUUAUUACGCUGAACUCAACUGAAAAUCCAUAAAAAUAGCUAACAAAACAAAUUUGACAUGGUGCCAUCAUAAGGAGACAGUAUAAAUAAAACUCUCUUUGCUAUCUUAUUUCAUUUCCAUUAUCUUAGAGGACAAAAUCAUAACUUCAAGGUCCAUGAAAUUAGGAAAAAACAGAAGAAGAAAAAAUAAUUAUUGAGAGCAUGCACAAAAACUAAAUGACAACAAGUGAAAUAUUCUAGCAUAAGGUAUAUCGUACGGUUCUCCUGCUAGAGAAAGAACUCAUUUAUCUCAUUAGGAUAUAUUUUAGAUCGGCGGCACACAUGUGCCUUUACGACACCUAAAAUUAGCUCCAUAAAGUUUUGGACAAUCUUUAUCUCUUUUACAAGAGCUGAUAAAAGUACCCAAGAAACUAGAAUUAGAAACUAUCAUGCUAAGAAAUAUGGAAAGAAAUAGAAUUAGA